UAUUCUUUUUUUCCAAUUGGUGGCAGGAACCACACGGCACAGGUGAUGAUGUAGCCGGAACUAAUGCCAAAAGGAGGAUAAUAUUCUCUACUAUGAAAUGCAUGCCUAAUUUAUACCAUAGAUGCAGAGCAGCCUCGCUCAGGGUAUGUUUUUGGCGGGCGGCCGGGGUGCUUACCCUGGGGCCCCGUUGCAAGGUCCGCUGGCGUAUUUGGAGAAAACUGCUACUAAUAUAGAUAUGGUAGGGCUGGGCGAUGGAAGAAGGUGACGCGGUCGCGGGAGGGGCAGGGGCCGGGGCCGCGGCAGAGGCCGAGGUCGUGGCGCAUCCCCUGAAUACGGCGGCAGUAUGACCCCUCCAUAGCGCGCCCACUCAAAGCGCGGCCGUGCUUAAGCAUUCUACAACACACAUGCUCCGUAAAAUCAAACUUGUAAUUCCUGAUUCCCAGUAUCCAUUUAACUAAUUUGACGAAGCAUGUUGCUGAUGAUACCUAGUGUACAAAAACGCAAUAAAUAUUUUGAUUUACUUAGUAACUUGUUUUACAGUAAACGGGUUUUUAUUGUAACAUGCAUUUUAUGGAUAACAAUUAAAUCAUAGCCUCCGAUUCGACUUUUUGUGGGC